rnacentral:rRNA from 1 species
CAUAUCAAUAAGCGGAGGAAAAGAAACCAACAGGGAUUGCCCCAGUAACGGCGAGUGAAGCGGCAAGAGCUCAAAUUUGAAAUCUGGCUCCCCUUGGGGGGUCCGAGUUGUAAUUUGUAGAGGAUGCUUCGGGUGUGGCCGCCGUCUAAGUUCCUUGGAACAGGACGUCACAGAGGGUGAGAAUCCCGUCUUGGGCGGCCGGUCCGCGCCCGUGUGAAGCUCCUUCGACGAGUCGAGUUGUUUGGGAAUGCAGCUCUAAGCGGGUGGUAAAUUUCAUCUAAAGCUAAAUACUGGCCGGAGACCGAUAGCGCACAAGUAGAGUGAUCGAAAGGUUAAAAGCACCUUGAAAAGGGAGUUAAACAGCACGUGAAAUUGUUGAAAGGGAAGCGCUUGCGGCCAGACUCGGGGGCGGGGUUCAGCGGGCGCUCGUCGCCCGUGCACUCCCCGUCUCCCGGGCCAGCAUCAGUUUCGACGGCCGGUCAAAGGCCCCCGGAAUGUGUCGUCUCUCGGGACGUCUUAUAGCCGGGGGUGCAAUGCGGCCCGCCGGGACUGAGGAACGCGCUUCGGCCCGGAUGCUGGCGUAAUGGCCGUAAGCGGC